rnacentral:lncRNA from 1 species
CAUCUUCUUUCCUAAAUCUCUCAUCUCCCAUCACUCUUCUUCUCAUUCCCAAAAUUCCAAUGGAAAAAUAAGAGAAAAAAAGAAAACCUCUUCCCACCAUGGCUGGCCCUAUUCUCCUUCUCCCUCGCAACUAUUUUUUCUUUAUUUCUUGCUACUUCAUCUCACUGAACUCUUCCUACUCAUCCUUUUUCAAAUCUCUCAUCUCCCAUCUCUCUUUUUCUCAUCUCCAAAAUUCCAAUGGAGAAAAAAAGAAAGAAAGAAAAACCCCUUUUCCUCCAUAGCUCCAUCCUCCUUUGUGCGGUUCUUCUCAUCCAUUUAUCUCCCAUCAUGUCCUCCUAAUGCCUCCUGUCGAGCUAGCAUUGGUUUCAUCCUCCUCCCAUUUCAGACCCCCUUCCCUCUAUAGUCCCAUUUUUCUCAAAGAAGAGAGAUGGAGGAAGAAGAAAAAAGAAAAAUACGUUGGGAAAAGAAGAAAUAAUGCCACAUAAGCACCACAUCAAU